AUUGAACGCUGGCGGCAUGCCUUACACAUGCAAGUCGAACGGCAGCACGGGAGCAAUCCUGGUGGCGAGUGGCGAACGGGUGAGUAAUACAUCGGAACGUGCCCAAUCGUGGGGGAUAACGCAGCGAAAGCUGUGCUAAUACCGCAUACGAUCUACGGAUGAAAGCAGGGGACCGCAAGGCCUUGCGCGCAUGGAGCGGCCGAUGGCAGAUUAGGUAGUUGGUGGGAUAAAGGCUCACCAAGCCAACGAUCUGUAGCUGGUCUGAGAGGACGACCAGCCACACUGGGACUGAGACACGGCCCAGACUCCUACGGGAGGCAGCAGGGGGGAAUUUUGGACAAUGGGCGCAAGCCUGAUCCAGCCAUGCCGCGUGCAGGAUGAAGGCCUUCGGGUUGUAAACUGCUUUUGUACGGAACGAAACGGCCUUUUCUAAUAAAGAGGGCUAAUGACGGUACCGUAAGAAUAAGCACCGGCUAACUACGUG
rnacentral:rRNA from 1 species